rnacentral:rRNA from 1 species
ACAUGCAAGUCGAACGAUGAAGCGCCAGCUUGCUGGUGUGGAUUAGUGGCGAACGGGUGAGUAACACGUGAGUAACCUGCCCCCUACUCUGGGAUAAGCCUGGGAAACUGGGUCUAAUACUGGAUAUGACCAAUCACUGCAUGGUGUGUUGGUGGAAAGAUUUUUUGGUGGGGGAUGGACUCGCGGCCUAUCAGCUUGUUGGUGGGGUAAUGGCCUACCAAGGCGACGACGGGUAGCCGGCCUGAGAGGGCGACCGGCCACACUGGGACUGAGACACGGCCCAGACUCCUACGGGAGGCAGCAGUGGGGAAUAUUGCACAAUGGGCGAAAGCCUGAUGCAGCGACGCCGCGUGAGGGAUGACGGCCUUCGGGUUGUAAACCUCUUUCACCAGGGACGAAGCUAACGUGACGGUACCUGGAGAAGAAGCACCGGCUAACUACGUGCCAGCAGCCGCGGUAAUACGUAGGGUGCGAGCGUUGUCCGGAAUUAUUGGGCGUAAAGAGCUUGUAGGCGGUUUGUCGCGUCUGCUGUGAAAGACCGGGGCUUAACUCCGGUUCUGCAGUGGGUACGGGCAGACUAGAGUAUGGUAGGGGAGACUGGAAUUCCUGGUGUAGCGGUGAAAUGCGCAGAUAUCAGGAGGAACACCGAUGGCGAAGGCAGGUCUCUGGGCCAUUACUGACGCUGAGAAGCGAAAGCAUGGGGAGCGAACAGGAUUAGAUACCCUGGUAGUCCAUGCCGUAAACGUUGGGCGCUAGGUG